rnacentral:rRNA from 1 species
UACGAAGGGGGCUAGCGUUGUUCGGAUUUACUGGGCGUAAAGCGCACGUAGGCGGAUCGUUAAGUCGGGGGUGAAAUCCUGGAGCUCAACUCCAGAACUGCCUUCGAUACUGGCGAUCUUGAGUCCGGAAGAGGUGAGUGGAACUCCUAGUGUAGAGGUGGAAUUCGUAGAGUAUUAGGAAGAACACCAGUGGCGAAGGCGGCUCAGCUGGUCCGGUACUGACGCUGAGGUGACGAAGGCGUGGGGAGCAAACAGG